UACUGGUUCUUUUCACUUUCUCACAAAACAUCUGGAUGCUUGGGUGAUAAUUCUACAUUUCCAUCCAAAUCAAAAUUCUAUUCACUUUACAUAUGAAAUGUCAAAAGUAAUUUGUACGUUCAAAAAUACUGAGUUUUCUUUAAUAUUACCUUGAGGAAACCAAAGCAUCAGAUUCUAUAAAGAGAAAUAAUUGUUUUUUAAAGAUUUAUUUAUUUAUUUGAAAAGCAGAAUAUAGAGAGAAAGAAAGACAAAAGGAGAGCUCUUCCAUACACUGAUUCAUUCCCCAAAUUGCUGCAAAGGCCAGUGUUGGACCAGGAAGAAGCCAGGAGCUCAGAGCUUCAUCCAGGUCUCUCAUGAUGGGGGAAGGGGCCCAAGUACUUGGGCCAUCUGCUGCUGCUUUCCCAGGCAUGUCAGCAGGGAUUUGGAUCAGAAGUGCAGCAGCCAGGACUCAAAUGAGCACCUGUAUGGGAUGUGGACACUGCAGAUGACAGCUCAACCUACUAUGCCACAGUGCUGGCCCCAAGAAAUAAAUUUAAGCAUUUAAGUUAUUUAGAGUUUUGUUCUUGUUAUUUCUGUAAACAGUAAUACAGUAAAAAUGGCUUUACUGAUACAUACCCUAAGAAUCUGCAUUAAAAGAUAUGUUAAAAAGUAUUUUAUAUAAUUUAUUAUUUAUAUAAGCUGAACAAAUUUCAUGCAUUUUUAUAGACAGAUUUAGGAGCAUAUAGUGAUACUCCUAACCUGACCCUGCCUCCCACACUCCCACUCUUCUUCCUUCAUUAUUCUUUAAUUUUUACAAUGACAUACUUUCAGUUUAUUUUAUAAUCAUAAGCUUACUCUACUAAGUAAAGAAUUCAACAAAUAAUAAGAAGAAAAAAUGCUGUUCCUCAACAGCAGAGACAAGGGCUGAAAACAAUAACCAAAUCUCAAAUGUUAAUUUUGUAAAUAUGUAUUGAAGUUUUUUGUAUUCUAUUACAUUUCAAAGAAAACAUGAUAUUUGUCUUUUUGGCACUGGCUUAUUUCACUAUAAUGGUUUCCAGUUGCAUCCAUUUUGUUGUAAAAGACAGGAUUUCAUUCUUUUUUAUGACUAAGUAGUAUUUCAUAGUGUAUAUAUACAUUUUCUUUAUCCAGUCAUCAGGUGAUGGACAGCUAGGUUGAUUCCAUAUUUUAGCUAUUUUGAAUUGAACUAUAAUAAACAUGGAGUACAGAUAACUCUUUCAUAAGCUGAUUUCAGUUUUUUUGGGUAAAUUUCCAGGAGUGGGGUGGCUGGAUAAUAUAGUAGAUCUGUUUUCAGAUUUCUAGAGAAUCUGCAUACUGUCUUCCACAAUGGCUGUACUAGUUCACAAUCCCAUCAGUAAUGGAUUAAGGUACCUAUUUCACCAUAUCCUCACCAGCAUUUACUGUUUGUUGAUUCAUCCCAUGCUAACUGGGAUGAGGUGAAACCUCAUGUUGGUUCUGAUUUGUAUCUUCCUGAUGGCUAGUGAUCCUGAGCAUUUUUUGUGUCUGUGGCCAUUUGAAUUUCAUACUUUGAAAAAUGCCUGUUCAUGUCCUUUGCCAGUUUCUUAACUGCAUUAUUUGUUUGUUGUUGCUGAGUUUCUUCAGUUCUUUAUAGAUUCUGGAUAUUAAUCUUUUAUCAGUUGCAUAGUUUGCAAAUAUUUUCUCCCAUUCUGUUGGUUGUCUCUUCACUUUCUUGAGUGUUUCCUUUGCAGUGCAGAAGGUUCUCAGUUUGAUGUAAUCCUGUUUGCCUAUUUUUGCUGUUAUUUCCUGUGCUUCUGGGAUAUUUUCCAAGAAGUCCUUGCCUAUGCCAAUGUCUUGCAGAAUUUCCCCAAUGUUCUCUAUUCAGUGGUAUCAGAUCAUAGAUUUAGAUCUUUGAUCCAUUUUGAGUUGACUAUUUUUGUAUAUGGUGUAAGGUAGGAGUCUUGUUCCAUACUUCUGUAUGCAGAGAUCCAGUUUUCCCAGCACAAUUUGUUGAAGAGACUUUCCUUUUGUCAGGAAUUGAUUUUUUCUCCAUUAUCAAAGAUUACUUAAUUGUAGAUGUAUGGAUCAAAUUCUGGGGUUUCUGUUCUGUGCUCCAUUGGUCUACAUGUACAUUUUUGAGCCAGUACCAGCAUGUUUUGAUUAUAACUUCCCUGUAGUGGGUCUUGAAAACUGAUAUGAUACCUCCAGCUUUGAUUCUUGUCGUUUAAGAUUGCUUUGGCUUUUCAGGGUCUCUUGUCUUUCCAAAUGAAUUUUUAGCAUUGUGUUUUCUAGAUCUAAAAAUGUCAUUGGUAUUUUGAUUGCGUUCAUAUUGAAUCUGUAAAUUACUUUCAGUAGUAUGGACAUUUUGAUAUUAAUCCUUCCAAUCCAUGAACAUGGAAGAUUUUUCCAUAUUUUUAGUGUCUUCGUCUUUAAUGUUUUCUAAUUUUCAUUGUAGAGAACUUUCAUCUCAUUGGUUAAAUUUUUUCCAAGGUAUUUAAAUUUUUUGUUGUUAUUAUGCAUGAUAUUGAUCUUAUAAGUUCUUUCUAAGCCAUGGCAUUGUCUGUGUAUACAAAGGCUAUUGAUUUUUGUGUGUUAAUUUUGUAUCCUGCAACUUUACCAAAUUUUCUUAUGAGUUUCAAUAGGCUCUCAAUAGGCCUUUUGGUUCUCCUGUGUAUAGAAUCAUGAUAUUUGUAAACAGGAAUGAUUUGGCUUCCUCCUUUUUGAUUUGUAUCCCUUUGAUUUGUUUUUCUUGCCUAAUGGCUCUAAAACUUCCAGAAAUAUAUUGAAUAGCAGUGGUGAAAGUAGGCAUUCUUGUCUGGUUCUGAAUCUUAGUGGAAAUGCUCCCAACUUUUGCCCACUUAAUAUGAUGCUGGCUAUGGGUUUUUCAUAUAUUGCCUUAAUGUGUUGAGGAAUGUUCUUUCUAUUUGCUUAAUGUUUUCAUCAUGUAAGGAUGUUGUAUUUUAUCAGAUGCUUUCUCUGCAUCUAUUGGGAUACUCAUAUGGUUUUUAUUCUUCAGUUUGUUAACGUGAUAUGUCACAUCUGUUGAUUUGCGUAUGUUGAGUGAUUUCUGCAUACCAGGGAUAAAUCUCACUUCUUCCAGGUGAAUGAUUUUUCUGGUGUAUUGUUGGAUUUAAUUAGCUGGUCUUUUGUUGUAAUCAUUUGCAUCUAUGUUCAUCAGUGAUAUAGGUCUAUAGUUCUCAUUCUUUGUUAUAUCUUUUUCUGGUUUGAAAUUAAGGUGCUACUGGCUGGCGCAACGCACUGAUCUGAAGGCAGGAGCCAGGUGCUUCUCCUGGUCUCCCAUGGGGCGCAGGGCCCAAGCACUUGGGCCAUUUUCCGCUGCACUCCCGGGCCACAGCAGAGAGCUGGACUAGAAGAGGGGCAACCGGGACAGAAUCUGGCGCCCCGACCGGGACUAGAACUCAAGGUGCCGGCACCGCAGGCAGAGGAUUAGCCAAUUGAGCCGUGGCGCCAGCCCUAAAUUAAGUUUAUAUAUGUUGACCAUCUCUAAAAGUGAUCUGGAAGAGUAUGUAUAGAUAUAAACAUAUGAGGGAAAUAGGGUAGGUGAUUUUAGAGCAAAAAUAUAGAUACUUGCAAAGCAGUCUUACAAAGUUUUUGUGAUUUUUCCAGUCUUUACAAUAUUAACCUAAUUAAAAGCAAACUUUUUAGCAGUGUGCUUUUAUCUCACCACUCUAAAGCAUUUACCUCAUUUUUUAUAGAAACAGCUCUUUUCAGAUCGUUUUUCAGUGAUAUCAGUUGUUGCACUGUUACAGAUGGGACCACAGAUAGGAAGAGAACAUACACACACACUGAAAGUUCUUCUUGGGUCUGACUAGGGAAUGUAAACUCAGUGAGGCAGAGUAUACCUUGAACAGGCACAUGGUUUCCUUAACACUGGGUUUCUGUUGGGGCCAGGUCCUAACAGACAUAACCCACUUAACUUUUUGCUUUUAUAUUUGGAGGUUAUAUUACCAUGCAGAAGAAAGUCACAUGGUCUCUCUACUUAAUGCUUCCAGUUCAGAUUCUGCUGGUUUUUUGAACCAGACUCAGUUGUCUUUAAAGCUACAUAUUCAUCCAGGCAACAAAAAAAACAACUUAUGUCCCAGUGCCCCAACUUCUGCCUCCAACUUUCCGAUGUUUCCAAAAAACUCCAUUACAUGAAAGUAAUAUUUAAUAGGAAUGAAGUAAUUAUAACAAGUAUAAUAAUUGUAAUUGGUUUGCAAACACAAAAGACCUACCUGAACUCAUCUUCUAGGAGCUGGAAUGUGCAAGCUUGUGUGAGAUUCCCAAUAGCUUCAGAUACACAUAUGCUGCUUUUCAUGAUUAAAUUAUUAAAUUCUACAGAAAGAAUACAGAGCAUUGAUUAAUCCGGUGAAUGAUUAUGUAGAGACCAGUUAAGACUGUUUUUAAUACAUUACAUUGAAUAAAAAUAGCUCAAUAUAAAAUUUUAGGAAUUUAGAUUCUAGAAUAUUAUUUACAAGCAUAAGUAUUGGCAACUUUUAAUAUCUAGGUGCAAUUACUUCUUAAGUAGAAUCUUGAAGUAACUUAAGUGGAAUCUUGAAGUUAAUUCAAUGGUGUUUUUCCUUUCAUUAAUAAAACAUGCAUGUUAUAUAUAAAAUAUCAGCCAAGUAUGUUGCCAAAUUCUAGAAAGGCAUCUGAAAAAAAUACAGAAAAUUUAUGCUUGACACCAAACCAUAUAUACCUUUGCAUUUUGUAUGUGGUGUUAAUUUGGUGUACUUCAUAAAGCACAUGAAAAAUAUUCAAAAAAAGCAACUGAAAUAAUCAAAGACGGGUAUAUAUGAAGACCUGUCUUUUUUCUAUUGGCACUGAUUUUUUAAUUUUUACUUUUUUAAUUUUAUUUAAGGUAUACAAAUUUUUUUUUCAUAUAUCCAGAUUUAGGAACAUAGUGAUGCUUCCCACACUCCCACCCUUCUUCCUCCUCCCUCUCCUAUUCCCACUCUUAAUUUUUUUUUUUUUUUGACAGGCAGAGUUAGACAGUAAGAGAGAGAGAGAGAGAGACAGAAAGGUCUUCCUUCUGUUGGUUCUACCCCAAAUGGCUGCUACAGCCGGUGCACUGCACUGAUCCAAAGCCAGGUGCCAGGUACUUCCUCCUGGUCUCCCAUGUGGGUGCAGGGCCCAGCACUUGGGCCAUCCUCCACUGCCUUCCCGGGCCACAGCAAAGAGCUGGACUGGAAGAGGAGCAACCGAGACAGAAUCCGGCGCCCCAACUGGGACUAGAACCCGGAAUGCCAGCACCGCAGGCAGAGGAUUAGCCUAGUGAGCUGCGGCGUCGGUCCCCACUCUUAAUUUUUAUAAAAAUCUAUUUUCAGUUUACUUAAUACUCAUAAAAUUACUUUAUACUCAUAAGAUUAACCCUACACUAAGUAAAGAGUUCAACAUAUAGUAUGCAGGAAAAAAGCACUGCUCCUCAACAGUACAGACAAGGGCUAUAAACAAUCAUAGAAUCUCAACAUGUCAAUUUUACUCCAAUACAUUACAUUUUAGGUUCUCUAUUAGUUACCACAGAUAAGGGAAAGCAUAUGAUAUCUAUCUUUUGGGGACUGUAUAAUUUCACCUAAGAAGAGUGGUUUCCAGUUGUGUCCAUAUUGUUGCAAAAGACAGGAUUUCAGUUUUUUAAUUGCUGAGUAGUACUUCAUAGUGUAGAUAUACCACAAUUUCUUUAUCUAAUUGUCAGUUGAUGGACAUCUAGGUUGAUUCCAUAUCUUAACUAUUAUGAAUUGAGGUGCAAUAACCGUGGUAGUACAAAUAACUCUUUCAUAUGUUAAUUUCAUUUUGUUUGUGUAAAUUCCUAGGAGUGGGAUGGCUGGUCAUAUGGUAGAUCUAUUUUCAGAUUUCUGAGGUAUCUCCAUACUGUCUUCUACAGUGGCUGCACCAGUUUACAUUCCCACCAAUAAUUGAUUUCUAUAUGAGAGCCAUUCUAAGUGGGGUGAGGUGAGACCUCAUUGUGAUUCUGAUUUGCAUUUCCUUGAUGGCAGGAGAUCCUGAGCAUUUUUUCAUGAGUCUGUUGGCCAUUUGAACUUCAUUUUUUGAAAAAUACCUGUUCAAAUGCUUUGCCCAUUUCUUAACUAGAUUGUUUAUUUUGUUGUUGUUGAGUUUCUUGAGUUCUUUAUAGAUUCUGGAUAUAAUGCUUUAUAAGUUACAUAGUGUGCAGAUAUUUUCUCCCAUUCUGUCAGUUGCCUCUUCGCUUUGUUGACUGUUGCCUUUGCAGUGCAGAAUCUUCUUAACAUGAGGCAAUCCCAUUAUCCCAUUUAUCAAUUUUGGCUCUGCCUAUGCUUCUGGGAUCUUUGCCUAUGCCAAUGUCUUGCAGAGUUUCCCAACAUCCUCUAGUGGUUUGAUGGUAUGGGGUUGUAGAUCCAUUUGGAGUGGAUAUUUGUGUAAGGUGUAAGGUUGGGGUCUUGUUUUAUACUUAGGCAUAUGAAGUUCCAGUUUUCCCAGCACAGUUUGUUGAAGAGAUUGCACUUGUUCCAGGGAUGGAUUUUAGCUACUUGUCAAAGAUAAGUUGGUAGGGAACAUGCAUUGAUUUCUGGAGUUUCUAUUCUGUUCCAUUGGGCUACAUGUCUCUUUUUUUUUUUUUUUUUCUGUCAGUACCAGGCUGUUUUGAUUAUAACUGCCCUGUAGUAUGUCCUGAAAUCUGGUAUUGUGAUGCCUCUGGCUUUGUUUUUGUUGUAUAAGAGUGCUUUAGCUAUUCAGGGUCUCUUAUAUUUCCAUAUAAAUUUUAGUAUCAUUUUUUCUAGAUCUGAAAAGAAUAUCAUUUAUAUUUUGAUUGGGAUUGCAUUGGUAUUGUGGACAUUUUUAAUGAUAUUAAUUCCUUCAUACUUUAAACUUUUGCUGGGAGAUUUUCUGCCUUCCUAUUCUUUCACAGUGAUGACUAUCUUUCUGUGCUUCUCUGUGUAUAGCAUAUCCUUCAGCAUCAUUUGUAAGACUGGAUGAGUGGUAACAAAUUCUUUCAAUUUCUUUUUGUUAUGCAAGGGCUUUAUUUCACGUUCACUCAUAAAUGAGAGUUUUUGGGGCCAGUGCUGUGGCAUAUCAGGUAAAGCUGCCACCUGUGGCGCUGGCAUCCCAUGUAUGGACACCAGUUCAAAUCCUCUUCCAAUCCAGCUCUCUGCUAUGGCCUGGGAAAGCAGAAGAAGAUGGCCCAACUGCUUGGGCCUCAGCCACCCACAUGGGAGACCUGGAAGAAGCUCCUGGCUCCUGGCUUUGGAUUGGCUCAGCCCUGGGUGUUGUGCCCAUUUGGGGAGUGAGCCAGCAGAUGGACAAGCUUUUGCUCUGUCUCUCCUUCUCUCUGUAACUCUGCUUCUCAAGUAAAUAAAUAAAUCUUUAAAAAUAAAGAAAAGAGUGCUCUGCAGGGUACUGUAUUCUAGAAUGACACUUUCUUUUUCUUAAGACUUGGACUCUGUCUCUCCAUUUUCUCCUAGCCUGUAAGGUUUCUGAAGAGAAGUCAGAAGUGAAUCUAAUCCUCUGAAAGUAAUCUGGCAUUUCUCAUGCACAUUUGAGGAUCUUUAUGUUUUACUGUUGAAUGUUUGACUACAAUUGUCAUGAUGUCAUCUUUUAUGGUUAUGUUCUGUGUGCCUCAUGUACUUAGACAUCCGUUUCUCCUUUUCUGCUAUUGAUUCACUGAAUAGGCCUUCUAAUCCAUUCUCGCUUUCCACACCUUUAGGAAUUCCUAAGACCUAUAUGUUGGGUCAUUUGAUUGUAUCCUAUAAAUCUCUUAAGACUGUUUUUAGUGUUUUCUUAUUUCUUCUUUUUUUGGUCUGUUUGAAAAAUUUCCAAAGAUUUGUCUUCUAGCGCAGAUAUUCUUUCUUCUGCCUCACCAAGUCUGCUGUUAAGGCUUUCCACUGUAUUUUUUUACAUACCGUAUUUGUCAUUUCUAAUAUUUUAGUUUGAUUUAUCUUUAAAAUCUCAAUUUCAUGGGAGAAUUUUCAUUCAUGUCAUAUAUAGAUUUCCUUAAUUCAUAAAUUUGCUUCUCAUUGCUUCUGAAUAAUCCUAUGAUUAAUCUUUUGAAUUCUGUUUCAGGCAUUUCUUCAGUCUCUUCAUCUUCACAUUCUAAUAUUGAUGUGAUAUUGUGUUCCUUUGCGGGGGGGGGGGGGGGUGAGGGCCAUGUUAUCUUCCUUAUUGUAUUGUGUGAAUUUCUACAUUUAUAUUUAGGUAUUUGUGGAAGUACAUGCUGGUUUUUUUUCCUCUGAUUGUUUUUGUCUUUGAACUAUGCCUGUAUGGCUUAGUGAAAUGUCUGCUCUUUCACUGAAAACCCAGAGGUAUGCUGAGUGUGGCAAGGGAGCUCUGGCCAAUGCUUAUGGGUGGGGUGAGAAUCCAGGGUGACACCCAACUAGAGUGUGGUAGAUGUCCUUUUAUUAACAAAAGGGGGAGGUCUACGAUCACCUCUGUUGUCGUAAUCAGACCCUCACCUCCUCUCUUCUAAGGUGAUCAGUGUCCAGGUUUAGCCCUCAAUGGGUGCAAUACUUAUACAUGCCUCCAGUUGAACUGCACAAAGGAUGUGCGCAGUCCUCAGUUUAGUACAGAUCUUACUGCAGUGACCCACUCCAGGCAAUCAGAGAGCCCUGAGCUUAGGGAACUAUUCACAGUGAUUUCCCAGAGACCCAGCUACACCCUGUGCCCUCGUGUGCAGUCACAGAGUACCCACAUUCUCAGCACACAAGGCUCCUACAGUGACGGGGUGCAGAAGAUCCAUUCUUCAUACCAUAAGCCUGCCCUGUCUGUGGAGAGAGUAGAGACGUUCCCAGAACCAGCUGCCUCUGGGUGUUCCACCUGGACUUGAGCCCCAGAGCCUGUGAAAGGUUGAGGGGAUGGGAGCACUUCACAGUCCUAAAUAUGAAAAAAGACUAGGAGUAUUCAUAAUCAGAGUCUAAAAAGUCAUGAAAUAAGGCCACAGAUUGCAGAACACCAACAUGAAGGAGACAACUGGUUGAAACCUAACAGGUUAAAAUUUACAGGAGCUGGCACUGUAGCACAGCAGGUUAAGCCACUGUCUUCAGUGCCAGCAUCACAUAUGGAUACUAGUUCUGAUCCAGCUCCCUGCUAAUGCGCCUCAGAAAGCUGCGGAGAAUGGCCCAUGUGUUUGGGCCCCUGCCACCCAUGGGGGAGACUCAGAUGUUUCUGCCUCCUGGCUUCACCCUGGCCCAAUGCUGGCUGUUGUGGCCAUCUGGGGAGUGAACCAGUGGGUGGAAUAUAUCUCUCUCUUUAACUCUUUCAAAUAAAUAAAUCUUUUUUUUAAUUAUGUUAUUUGUAAGAAACAAGAGUUCGAAAAACAUUGUCUGAUUAUAAAGUCAUUGUGAACAAAUGUUAGCAAAUCUAGGUAUUUCCAAAGAAGCAGUGUGGGUAAAGUUUAUCAUAUUGAUUCAUAAAAGCAGUCUAAAUUCCACCAAGGAGUUAAAGGUAUGUGUGACAAGACAAAAUGGAGAGAACCAAGUAAUUCUAGAUAACAUAGCUCUUGCUCAUGACCUCAAGUUAAAAAAAAUACUCAAAAAUCAAAGAAAGGAAAUACUAGUCAGUCGUAAGUUCACUGUGAAUUCAGGCUAAAGAAAGCAGAAAAAAAUAUUGCUGUGUUUGUCAUGAACACUGAUUAAAUAACAUUCAUUUAUGGUCUCUUGGGAAAUACGUUAUAAAAUGUGGAGCGCUCGUGUUGCUGCUGUUGGGAAGCACAGCUGAAGUGUGAACAUCUGUUCAUCUCCAGAAAGUGGAAUCUCUAAUGUGAACUGUACCCUACUGCCAGGAGACAGUCGUCAUGGAGAUAAUUGCACUUCAGUGUUCCAAAUUCUGUCUCUGGCUGCAGUAUGAAAGAUGAAUUUAAAAAAGAGAGAUUGAGGGUAGGGAAGCUCUAAGGCUGUUUCAGUAGUUCACUUUACAACUCCGGAUGAAAAGUGGGAAGUACAUUGAAGAGUUUCAGGUAGCCUUCAGCUACCAGUGUACCUCAGGAGCAACAAACAAAAACAUGUAAGACUGCUAUUCAGAGGAGCUCCUGGAAUAAAAGGGUAAUGAUACAUAAAGGUGAAAUUCUACUAGAUUAAUUAAGCUGUUAAGAGUCUGCACUCAUCUAAUUCUCUCAGACCUGGAUGUACUUGCAUGUACUUUCUGCUUUUAUUCCUGGGAGUUUCAAGGUAGAGGGAGCCACAUCUUCAAGUACUGUACCCACUCUACAUAUGAGAGUUCUUCAGAAGGUGUGUGGAAAAUGGAAUUAAAAGAUGUUCAUUUUGGUGUAAAAAGAUGUUUUUGAAAUAGUACAUAGAAGGACUCUUCAGAAAGUUCAUGGACAUACACAUAUUAUGAAGGCUGGAUUUCAGAAGACUUUUGCACCAAAAUAAACUUAACGUUUUAAAUUUAUUUUUCAAAAAGCUUUUUGAAGUACUCUCCUGUAUCCCUAUGAUAGUGAAGGUAGUCGCCAGUAUUAUAAAGUGAGCGUGGUAAGCAGCGUCACUGUUGUAAUUUCCUGGACCAUAACUUUUGAUGUGCUGUAGUAAUGUCUGAUGGUGAUAUAAGGCCAAAUCACAAAGCCUGCAGAUAAGAGACACUGAGAGUAAAAGUGGGAAAAAGGCAGUAGAUUGCAUGACCUCUUACCGUGCAUAGAGCCUCUACUCCUGCAGUUGUUGCAUAUACAUACUUUAAAAGUUUUUCAAAUACAUUUUUCAUGUUAAUAUGCUAAAUUAAUGGAAAAGUUUCUGAAAGCUACAUGAUUUUCCUUAAGUGUUCAGAAAAAUAAUCAUCAACCCAUGAAGUCUGAUAACAUGAAAAAGAGUUAUGUUAGGAUUUAUCACAGAUUUGUUUGGUUUUUUGAAGUUUCAAGUCAUAAAGAUCAAUCUUAUAAGACUAUAAAAGUUUAUUUGUGCUGAUUAUAGAAAUGAAACACUGGCAUUGUGGCACAGAGGGCUAAUCUGCUCCCUGCAACACUGGCAUAACAUAUCGUAGUGCCGGUUCAAGUUCUGGCUGCUCUAUUCCCAACCUUGUUAAUGAAUGCACUUGGGAAAGAAGUGUAAGAUGGCUCAAGUGCUUGGGCCCCUCCUACCAAGUGGGACACCUGGAUGAAGUUCCAGGCUCCUGGUUUUGGUCUGGCCCAGCCCUGGCUAUUGAGUCCAUUUGGGAACUUAACCAGCAGAUGGAAUAUCUCGAUUCUGUCUGUC